CGUGGUGGUGGUUGUGGCAUCUGAGAGGAAGGUGGAGGGAGAAGCGAAAAAGUUGGGUGAGCGAGAAGUGUUGGGCGCCACUUCAAGCCAGGCGUUGUCGCCGGAGAGCAGCUGCUCCAGGAGGUCCAGGUCGCCUUCGGACGACAAGGCGCGCCCCAUGGAGAUGCCUGGCUGGGCGUCUCCCCCUUCCAUACAGCAUCAGUUUCCUGCUGCAUGGAGAGGUGUACAUUGCUCUUGGUCUUGGAUCAACAUAGAGAGGAGAAGACACUAGUUGGAGGUGACACUAGUUGAUAAAGCACAAUGCACCGCAAAUGCUCAUCUCAGGAAACUCUUGCUCGGAACCGGUUUUCAAUGACAAGACUUUGCUCACCAAUGGCGAUGGCGGGCCACCGAGAAGAUCAAAGCGUGUGUGAUUUCUUCAGAGCCUGUCACUUGUUAAUGUUUAGUGUUUUCUCUUAAGAGUUCUUCGUGAAAAAAAGCUGGUUGGAUCACAUUAUCAAUUGAGAGAUGCACCCAAUAACGGAUACUUGGGAAUCUGACAACUAAGCCUGAAGAUGUGUAUGAACUGCAUCGAACUCUGGGGAUUUGGAUAUUCCAGGUCAAGGGAGGGGAUUCAUACAUGGGUUUAAUUUUAGCUUCGCUCCAUGUACCGCGACAAGUACCCCCAUGGAGCUCGCUGCUGAAAGUUUCUUCCUUGACGACUUUGCCGCGCCUAUGGUAUGCUUGGAAGCUCCUUCGUCUGCGACUUUGCUGCGCCAAUGGUAUGCUCGGAAGCUUAGUUUGAUCUCCUUGAUGGCGUCGAUGUCGUGAAGUCUUAGAAUGGUGUAUGUAAUUUGAAAAUAUCUGAUAUUCUGAUGGCCGUGCUCAAUUCAGGCGGCCGAGGUUCAGUA